ensembl:lncRNA
CGGCACUCCCGAACCGAGGCUCCGCCGCCUCUGCCUGUGUGCUCUGCUGGAGGAACAUUGCCGACCUAUUUCUCGGUGCCCGGCGUGGGGUGUCCUGCGGUUGCAGGACUUAAUUCUGCACCGCCGGGAGGCCGGGGUAAGCGCCGAGGUAACUGCCCAAACUGAGGUCUCGGUUCCCUUGGGCCUGUCAGCGAACGACUGCAGGCGGGUGGGGGGGCACUGGAGGUCAGCGGGAAGCGGGAAGAUUGUUGCAGGACCUUGCUGGGGAGUUCGCGGGAAGGAAAAGGGGCGGGAGCGGGCCGUACCCUGAACCCUGCAUCCCGCUGCUGGACAGCCCGCGGCUCCGCACCCCCGCACCCCGCAUCUCGCGCCCCGCGUCCCUCGGGCCCUCCUCACCCGGCGUCUGCCCGGGUCCCCCAGCGCGCGUUGACGUCGGUCGCGGGGCCGCCCGGAGCUCCCGGCAUUGGCUGGGAAGUCGAUUGUCUCGGGAGGCUGCUAUUAUACUUAGGCUGGGUCUCUGAGCCCCGGAGGAAGCAGGCGUGUGUUGAAUUUCUCUUUGACCCUCACGGUGGAAUAAACAGGAAACGACGAGCACCCAGCCCGGGCUCAGCACUUGCCUUUGUUGUGGGAUCCGCUUUGCACAGUGGCGAGGAGGCUUGCCUGGGACCCCUGCCGGGUGCACCGCCUGGGGUGGCGUUGGGGGCGCGCCCUCAGUUCAGGCUCUAUAUUUGUAACAUCACACGUUGUCACCUGAUUGGACCAUUUUCAAGAACUCACCUCAGUUUUCAUACAGCUUAAAAGGUAAAGAAAUUGGAGCAUGAGAUCCACAUGAUUGACUGACAUGAUUGAUUGACUGUCAUGAAGCAUGGAAGGUAGAGAUUUCUUGGUUUCUGCUUACUCCACGUGAUUGAGCUGCACAUUGUUUUCUGGUUAUUACAUAGAGGAUUUACUUUGCAGUAAAUGAGGCAGCAAUAACUGCCUUCUGCUUUGUGGGAGAUCAACAGUCCUGAUACAGGUUUUUUUUUUUUUUUUUUUUUUUUAUUUAUUUGCUACCCUUUUAUUGUUCUUUGGUAAUUCUGGAGAACAAAGGCCACUGGAGAGAUAUCUGGGAUCUUUUCAAUUCAGGAGACGCUAGGAAAUGGGAUGAUGACCAAGGCAGUGGGGACUUCAGGAGAUCAAUUCUGGGUGUUGGUGAGAACACUCCUGAGGCAGGUGUGCUUUGUUUCUGGGGCUUGGCCAUGCCAUCAAAGAAUACUAUGAGCCUUUGUUGUUGACCUUUUAACUUUUAAGGUAGACACAUGAUGAAAGCAUAAACCUGAAGUCACUGGUUAGGUCUUGACAAAGUUUACACAUUUAUUGAUGAUCUUCGAAGCAUUGGUGCAUGGGUUGGCAUUCCUUGUAGUUCAGUUUUAUAUCCCUUCUAUGUUCUAUAGAAUUAUAUCUCUUCUAUGGCCUCUGUGGAAUUUCUUUUCCAGAAAAGGAAAACUGAUCUUUUUGUGGACAUAUUAAUUUAGCGGAAGAGACAUAAUUUCUAGGUUGCUGCUGUGAAGCGUUUGCCAUAUAGACAAACCGUAGCUGAUCUCAUGUGUUAGUCUAUGUGUUUGUAUGCUUUCUCUAAGUCAACGUAGCUAUAGUAAUUUUAUGGCUUCUGUUACCCCAUAUCAUCUCUGAACAGAUACUGAAAUUAUUUAAUUAAACUUAGAUGCAUGAAGAAAACACCUACUUGUAUAGAAGUUUUGCAAAUGUAUGCAAAUCAUGUACAAAUGAGUUGGCUUAGCUGGACUGGAAUAUUGUAUUAUACUAGCCCUUCCUUGCCAUCACAGAGGAAGAAACACUCCCGUAUUUCUUCCUUAUUGUUUGCUUUUAGAUUGAAUCGCAACCUCAGGAUGCUUUUUUUAAAAAAAGUGUUUGACUGCCUCACUCAGUAGUCUUGGAUAAAUGUCACCUUCCUUCAUUUUUUUCACAGUGCAUGUGAAUUUUUAGGUGUCAGUAUUACCUCAUUAGUCAUUGUCACCUCUUCUGGUCACCCUUUGAAGCUACUUCUAAAAUUUAUCAUUAAACUUUUUUUUUUUUUUUUAAUAUUACAUCUUACCUUGCUCUAAGUUCUAGAAAAUCAUAUAUUAAUGGCACUGUCUGAAGGUAGGCCUGUUUUCUUUAGGGAUCUUAUAGGAGUCAGGCUCACAGACUCGUGGGGGCUGGAGGAGUUCUUUAGUACAAGUUCAGUGGUAGCUCUCUCUAAAUUUAUGGUAAAUUAUUUGUGAAGUUGGAAUGACAGAUUUGUCCUAGUGGUUCUUCUUUUAACCUCCGGCUAUUUAAGUUUAAUUAAAGUAAGCUGAGAAAUGUGUAUGUUAAAUGCUAGUUCCCGGCCAUGAUGAAAGGGCUGAUGAUGGUCAAGGUGACUGUCACUUUGAGGCUGCAGGCUGGGAGCACAUCAGAAGGACCUGACCAGAAAUGGCUUAAAUAAGAGAUAAUUUUAAUAAAUGGUCUCUUCUUAAAAAGGCUUAAUCA